rnacentral:rRNA from 1 species
UUGAACGCUGGCGGUAUGCUUUACACAUGCCAGUCGAACGGCAGCACGGGGCAACCUGGUGGCGAGUGGCGAACGGGUGAGUAACAUAUCGGAACAUAUCCGGAAGUGGGGGAUAACGUAGCGAAAGUUACGCUAAUACCGCAUAUGCCCUGAGGGGGAAAGUGGGGGAUCGCAAGACCUCACGCUUUCGGAGUGGCCGAUAUCAGCUUAGCUAGUUGGUGGGGUAAAGGCCCACCAAGGCGACGAUCUGUAGCUGGUCUGAGAGGACGACCAGCCACACUGGAACUGAGACACGGUCCAGCCUCCUACGGGAGGCAGCAGUGGGGAAUUUUGGACAAUGGGCGCAAGCCUGAUCCAGCCAUACCGCGUGAGUGAAGAAGGCCUUCGGGUUGUAAAGCUCUUUCAGCAGGAGCGAAACGGUCGUUUUUAAUACAGACGGCUAAUGACGGUACCUGCAGAAGAAGCACCGGCUAACUACGU